CAUGCAGUGGGGGUGGAUUAGUACAAGUGCCUGUCUUCUAUAUUUACAAAUUUCAGUGUCACGUAGCUGAAACUACACAUGUGUGGUAUCUACCAAUAUUGUUUUUAACAGAAAUAGUUAGUAGUUCCUGCUGUUGCCGGGUAGAGCCAUGUUUAAAAGUGUUAUACUUGAGAAGACGGCUAUGAGACCAGUGUAAACUCCUACAGUUUUAUAUUGGUGUAGAACACUGUUUUGGCUGCCUGAUUUUGACAGGGCCAGAAUCUUAAAUUUGUCUCUGAGGGCUUGUCUAAAUUACCUGCUGGCUGGAUGGGCAGCGAUCGAUCCAGCGGGGGUCGAUUUAUUGCAUCUAGACUAGAUGCGAUAAAUCGACCGCCGAGCGCUCUCCCGUCGACUCCGGUACUCCACCGGGUUGAGAGGCGCAGACGGAGUCAAUGGGGGAGUGUCAGCCAUCGACUUACUGGGGUAAGUAGAUCUAAGUACAUCAACUUCAGCUACGUUAUUCACGUAGCUGAAGUUGCGUAACUUAAAUCUAUUUCUUUUCCCCCCUCUUCUCCCCCCAGUGUAGACCAGGCCUAAGCCAUGUACUUAGACUAGAGCAAGAGUCACAAACUAGAAUGCCACAUGUGUUAUAAACUGGUGUAUAAGGAUGCAGUGCUUAGUGUUGUGAGGUGAGAGCAAGAAGUGCCAUUAUAGCUGGUAAUGUCACAGAUAGGAUAUUAGUAAGAGUAUGUCUACGCUUAACUGGGUGAUUAAGUCCUAGGUCUGAGCACUUGGAUUCAUCCAGCCUGAGUACGAGUGUUCCCGCAGCAAAGCCCUUCCCCAUUUAUUUGCCUUCACUUUGUCUACCCUCACCAGUGUGUGCGGUUCUUUGUGUUGAGAUGCUCUGGGAUUUUUUUCCCAGUCAUUUAUGUCAAUUUCUGGAGAGCUUGUCUGCCCCUUGUGGGGGGUGGGCAGCGGAGGAGGGAGAGCGAAUUGUGGAAAGGACAUUGGAAUACUAUGAGCACUUGAGUGAUCUUGCCUGCAUCCUCGCCGCAAAUGGGUUGCAGCCUGAACUAAGGCACAGCUUGAGCUUUAACCCGUGCCUCUAGCCACGCAAGCAAGCAUGGGUUCAAAUAGAAAACAAACAUAAACUUGAAGGAAUCUGAUUAAGCUAAACUGAAAUAAGAGUUUACAUAGGAUUCGAUGUCUUAACUAAAUCAGUUUAAAAAACAAUUUAAAUUAAACUGAUGCAACUUUAUCAUGUAGAUAAAUGAGGUCUUAAGAAUGUAGGAAUUGCUAUACUGGAUCAAUAUUCUCUCUCUAACAAUGACCAGCAGCAGAAGACUCAGGGUUGAAACUGUGCUUAAAACUGGUGAUGGAAUCUUGAGCGGAAUCUCAUCAAUGUCUGCAUACUGAAGUUUUCAAGUGCUGUAUCCUGGGGCUAUACAGGAAGUGACUUGCACGCCUGGGCUGCGGUGUAUUCAGUAUGUUGAUGAAACCCAGCUCCACACUUGGGUUACAACGGACCUGGAUGGUAAAGAGGAACAAGUAUUCCAGUGUUUUAUGAAAUUGGAGUGUGGAUGAUGGUGAGCUGUCUGAGGCUAAAUCCAGAUAAGACUGAAGUGAUGUCGGGGGCACCAACUGCAGGAGCUUGAAAGUGUAGCAAAUGGACAACCAACCUAAUUCUCAAUUACUGAGAGACAAUCUCCAUUCAUUGCUUUCCACAACCAAAUCGCUGUACAACUUUUCAUGAGUGAUGUACCCAAGUAUUUGGAUUCUAAUAUAUAAACUCUAUUGUUAAAUCUAUUCACCUAAAUUUGGGUUAUUGCUGAUUAUGUACUCUGUGUAUCAUGACUUUUAAAAACAAACUUUGUAUUUGUGGAUAAUCUAAGCACUAUACUCAGAUGUACAGACGCUCUUUUCUCAACCUAUGUAUUAUAUAAUUUUUUUUACAUUAGCUUUAAUUUUUUUAAAAUCUGUAGCUGAGGGAGCACAUCCACCAUUUGACUCAGAUUUACAAUCUUGGAGUUUUGCUUGACUCGUGGCUACUUUUUAGGAGAUUAGAUAGCAGCUGUGACCAUAUCUGGCCAUGUUCUCCUAUGUCUGGCUCGAUGAGUGGCCCAUUUAAAUCUUUCGUGUGUUCAUCUCGAUUAGGUUUCUGUAAUAUGUAGUAUGAGGGGGCUACAUACUGGGACAAUUCAGAAGAUCAGACUAAUGCAGCUGCUUGCUUGCUGAGUAGUGUGUCCUGUAAGGAGUUCACACUACCAGUGCUCAGAGUUGUGCUGACUUCUGUUAAGUUUAAGGGUGGACUUCAAGGUGCUGGUCUUUAGCCCAUAAAGCCCUAAAUGAUUUGGCCACUUGAGUCCUCUUGCUAUAUUGUCACAAUUGAGAUCAGUGGCGAUGCAUGAACUGGAGCUCACUUGAUACCAAAUAGUAUUAUUGUAGUGCCUAGAGCUCUGGCUAGGUCCCAGAGAAAUUCAGGAGGUAGAGAACAAGAAAAUAAAUCACAAUGAAAAAAGGGGAAAAUUUAUUAUAAAAUAAUUAUCACAAUAAAGAAUACAGUUUUAUCCUGUACUGAAAAUAUUCUAUUAUAGAAGGUUCUUUUUUACUGCCUUUAUACAGUGAUGUAGAAAACCACAACAUUAUCUCUUGAAAACAGGGUUACACAUGAGUGGGUUUCCUGUAAACUAAAGACAUGCCCACAUCUGCUUUCACUAUCUAAAUAGAUUAAAUACAACAUAUUAAAAUUGUAGAGCUUUAUUUGAAGUUAGGAAAUUCAGAGUUAAAAACUGAGUAUAUUUUAGCUAUAAGUCACCUUGCCCUUGCACAAGGCUUUUUCAAUUAGGAAGGCAGGUAUUACUUUUGAUGCAUCUCUUAUAAAGGGAUCCUUUUGUGGAUUUAAUCACCACCUAAAGUAAUUUUAAGUGUUUGACAUUAUGUGAGCGGGGAAGACCUAGAAACUCAACAUUCUUUUGGACCCUAUUCUUCUAUAAUGUAGAAAAGGCAUUACAGAGAGAGUGGAAACUAAGCUUAAAAACUCUGAAAAGCCUGCAGGAAGGUGUAAUAAUUUGUUGUUUGGGGCAGGGGCUUUAUCAUUGUGUUUGUACAGUGCUUAGCACAAUAGGGUUCUGAUCUUGGUUGGCGUUUAUAGGUUAGGAAAGAUGUCCUAGUGGACAAGGCACCAUACAGGGACGCUCCUAUAGAACCUUGAUCAAGUCACUUACUCUAUCCCAGAGGUUCUCAACCUUUCCAGACAACUGUACCCCUUUCAGGAGUCUGAUUUGUCUUGCGUACCCCCAUGUUACACCUUACUUUAAAAACUACUUGCUUAUAAAAUCAGACAUAAAAAUGCAAAAGUGUCACAGCAUGCUAUUACUGAAAAAUUGCUUACUUUCUCAUUUUGCCAUAUCAUUACAAAAUAAAUCAAUUGGAAUAUAUAAAUAUUGUACAUACUUUUCAGUGUAUGGUAUAUAGACGAGUAUAAACAAAUCAUUGUAUGAAAUUUAGUUUGUACUGACUUUUUAUGUUGCCUGUUGUAAAAAUAGGCAAAUAUCUAGAUGAGUUGAUGUUCCCCCUGGAAGGCCUCUGUGUACCCCCAGGGGUACGUGUACCCCUGGCUGAGAACCACUGCUUUAUCCUGUCUCGGUUCAUAACCUGUAAGAUGAAGAUAGACUUUUACCUCAGAGGAGUGUUUAGGGUAAAAUCUCUUAAUGACUGUAAGGGCUCAGAUACUAUAGUGACAUAUAAGUACUAACUAAUGAUAAACUCAGAAUAGAAAUUCAGUGUUGUCAGUGGCCCUUUUCACAUAGAGAGGGCAUAAGAAAAACAGAGCUCACCUUGAGGAGUCUUAGGGCUUGGCUACACUUAUUUUAUAGCACUCUAACUUGCUGGCUCAGGGGGGUGAAAAGUCACCCCGCUGAGCACAGCAAGUCAGAGCACUUUAAAGCACUAGUGUAAACAGGUUCCCAGCGCUGGGAGCUAAUCCCCUCGUGGAGGUAGAUUACCAGGAAUGCUGGGAGAGCUCUCUCCCGGCGUGCUCAUGCGACCACACUCGCACUUCAAAGUGCUGCCGUGGGAGUGCUCCCAUGACAGCGCUUUUUGAAGUUUCCAGUGUAGCCAUGCCCUUAGACCAUUGCCAGAAAUGGCCUUCUCUUUUGUACUGAGCUCAAGAUUGGGGGUGUCCUCCUCCUUGCCCAAGGCUUCCUUAGGAGCGAUGAUGACAUAGACUAUAGUUCUCCCCAGAACCCCUUACUAUUCAUCAUGUUCCUGAAGUGGAGCAAAAAGCCCUGAAGGGGAAGUUAACAAUCCUGUAAACAGCCGUGUGUGAAUUUCUCAGUAGUGAUUCACAAGAUUAAGAAAAGUUACACCUAUGUAAUCCUCUCUAGGUUUUCACAUUGUGCUUAUUGCCAUAGUUGUUGAGCGUUUAGUCCUCAGUGCCAAGAAUAGAAGUUUUAAGAACUCAAAUGCAGAGGUGAAGAUUUUUUGGUGGGAAUAUUUUUCUCUUCUGCCAUAAUGCCAGCAAUUCAGUAAACAAAACAAACCCAUCAGAGGCCCUGUUCCUCCCAUUGAUGAGGAAAAAGGUCUUGAGGAGGCAGAAAUCUGGAUUUUAUUCUAGAAAAACUAACAUAAUAUACCUGAUUCUUCUGUUUUUAUAGAAUGGUGGAGUAGCAGAUUCUGAACAGAGAAGGAAACAGUUGGUCCUUCUAGAUGUAGAAAAAUCUGCUUUAAUCUUGAUUUUUUAAUUUU